CUACGGGACGCAGCAGUGGGGAAUAUUGGACAAUGGGGGAAACCCUGAUCCAGCAAUGCCGCGUGUGUGAAGAAGGCCUGCGGGUUGUAAAGCACUUUCGGUUGGGAGGACUGCUUCUAGCACUAAUAUUGUUGGAAGUUGACGUUACCUUCAGAAGAAGCACCGGCUAACUCCGUGCCAGCAGCCGCGGUAAUACGGAGGGUGCAAGCUGAAUCGGAAUUACUGGGCGUAAAGCGCGCGUAGGCGGCUAGAUCAGUCGGGUGUGAAAGCCCCGGGCUUAACCUGGGAACUGCAUCCGAUACUGUCUAGCUUGAGUACAGGAGAGGAGAGUGGAAUUCCACAUGUAGCGGUGAAAUGCGUAGAUAUGUGGAGGAACACCAAUGGCGAAGGCAGCUCUCUGGCCUGAUACUGACGCUGAGGUGCGAAAGCGUGGGGAGCAAACAGGAUUAGAUACCCUAGUAGUC
rnacentral:rRNA from 1 species